AUUGAACGCUGGCGGCAGGCCUAACACAUGCAAGUCGAGCGAGCGGCGGACGGGUGAGUAAUGUCGGGGAAACUGCCUGUUGGCGGGGGAUAACUACUGGAAACGGUAGCUAAUACCGCAUACCAUCAGAUGUGCCCAGAUGGGAUUAGCUAGUAGGUGGGGUAAUGGCUCACCUAGGCGACGAUCCCUAGCUGGUCUGAGAGGAUGACCAGCCACACUGGAACUGAGACACGGUCCAGACUCCUACGGGAGGCAGCAGUGGGGAAUAUUGGACAAUGGGCGCAAGCCUGAUGCAGCCAUGCCGCGUGUAUGAAGAAGGCCUUCGGGUUGUAAAGUACUUUCAGCGGGGAGGCGUUACCCGCAGAAGAAGCACCGGCUAACUCCGUGCCAGCCGCCGCGGUAAUAC
rnacentral:rRNA from 1 species